rnacentral:rRNA from 1 species
GAUGAACGCUGGCGGCGUGCCUAAUACAUGCAAGUCGAGCGAACAGACGAGGAGCUUGCUCCUCUGACGUUAGCGGCGGACGGGUGAGUAACACGUGGAUAACCUACCUAUAAGACUGGGAUAACUUCGGGAAACCGGAUCUAAUACCGGAUAAUAUAUUGAACCGCAUGGUUCAAUAGUGAAAGACGGUUUUGCUGUCACUUAUAGAUGGAUCCGCGCCGCAUUAGCUAGUUGGUAAGGUAACGGCUUACCAAGGCAACGAUGCGUAGCCGACCUGAGAGGGUGAUCGGCCACACUGGAACUGAGACACGGUCCAGACUCCUACGGGAGGCAGCAGUAGGGAAUCUUCCGCAAUGGGCGAAAGCCUGACGGAGCCACGCCGCGUGAGUGAUGAAGGUCUUCGGAUCGUAAAACUCUGUUAUUAGGGAAGAACAAAUGUGUAAGUAACUAUCCACGUCUUGACGGUACCUAAUCAGAAAGCCACGGCUAACUACGUG